ACCGCCACUACAACAAACACCCCCUAUACCAACACAUAUGUACCAACCAUAUGACAACAUGUGUUGUUUGUUCAACCUCCCACACAUCCCGCACUUAAGUAACCUCCCGGUACCCACCUCCCCCUAUUCCUCGUCCGUCAAAAUAUCACGCGCCAAGUGAAACGAUGGGAGCGAAACUUUUCUAUCCACCGUCUCCCUCUCGCCUGAUUUCUCCAUCUUGCCUGAUUUCUCUCUCUCGCCCAAACUUCCAUCACCACGACUCUGCCGCCGCCACCUCCAAAUUCUUUUUGACGACCAUCUGCUAUCGCCACCACCAACCAGCCCCACCGCAACCGCCAGCCUCCACGAUGGCUGCAGGCCUGUAGCAGGCCGCCAUGCCUGCGCCGAGCAGCCGCCGCCGCCGAACUCCCGCAGUCAGAUCUAGGCCCAAGCCCACACGAGACCAGCAGAUCCCCACACCACCGGCCACUGCCUCCUCCUCUCCGAUGCAAGCCGGCACCACCGCCGGCGCCGCGGAGGAGACACCUUGACGCCACAGAUGCUGCCGUGAACCCCGCCGCAUGGAUUACCACCGGUGGCCACGAGCUCCCCCAAGUCGCGAGCGCACCACUUGACUCUGGGAGAAACGGAUCCCGUAGCCGCUGGUGACGGAGAGAGGGAGGAGGAGGUGGAGCCAGCAACAUCGCACCGUCGGUAACAACACACAUCUUGAGGGACUUGCUCGGUUCCUCUGAAUCCUUAUAUUCUACCGUAAUCUAUGAUAGAUGUUCCAACAUAGCUACUACUGUAUGCACCUUUAACUGUUUAUUAUUUAAGAUCACGUUGUGGAAAAAAUUAUUUGCAACUUCAAACUACUAGUAUCACAGGUUUUGGCUGUAACACAUGUUCACCUUCAACGCUAACCAGCAAAAACGAUAAUGUACAGGUACCCUAUUGGUUGAUUUGCACGCAUAGAUGAAUCGUGCUGCACACCAAGGCUUCUAACCAUACCUUCAUGUUAUAUAUACAAAUGAUUUAUUCUUAACCCUAGUCGCAACGGUGGCCGGCGCGGUUCUCUCGCCUACGGUCUGUAGGCCCACUAAAUCACGUGUGUGUGCUACUGCCCGCUCGGGCAUGACAGUGUUGCGCCACCCCGGCCCUGCUAUAUUGUUUCGACGGUUAAUCUGGACUGUAGGUUGGAUCUGAAACAAAUUACCUUAUAAGCUCGUAAUGCAAGUAUGAUUCAGCUGCUAAUGCUUUUCCCCUUCCGUUAUCAAGAUAAAACAUGCAUUGAACCUAUGAUGAACUCUAUUGACAUCAUCAUCUUUGUUCUGGAGGAUAUGGAGGAGCUCCAGGCUGCCUCGACAUUGGCUUCAGGUUGUCAUACCAUGAAAUCUCCGAGCUCUGCAAGUCACUUACGUGCUGGAGUUGUACUACUCCAUGACAUGGAGGACAAAUGAUACAUGAUCAGAGGGCCAAGUGGCGACAAGGAUCAAAUUUCUUGAUUAUAGCAUAUGCCACAUUGGACUGGGUGCUGAGAAUCUUGAUUCAUGGAUUGGGAAAUACUAAAGUGUAACAUUUAGUUAUCAAGUAAGUACGAAGUUUUGCAUGAGGUGGAUUAUUUAAUGAUUUUUGAGCUGUUGGCAUUGAGUUUGUUUCUCCUAAAUCCUAAUACACCAUACCAAGCAUGAUUAAUACACACGUAUUGGUGAUGCAAAACUAAUUAAUGCAUAGACCGUUGGAAAAUAGAAUUAUUCAACCCUGUGUAGUUGAUAUUACUGGUUACCUAUUUAUCUAAUAGUUGGUUGCUGAAUUCAUCUCAUUGUUGAUACAGUAUGAUCUUUGGAUAAUUGUUAGUAGGACAUGCAUGUUGAUGGUUGUUCACAGUGUACAUGUACAUCAGAUUGCUCAGCGAUGCUUGGUGUUUUAUUAUGUACCAAGUUAUUUGUCAGACAUACAUAAGCUUGUAUGUUUCUCCCACGAUCUUUUCUUGCACACUGGUUAUUUUUAUAUGGGUCCUUUAGGUACAACGCAUAGCAUGUAUAUUUUUAAACUUCAAAUUUCAAAUAUAUGCCAGAAUAGUAUUAUGUUUUUUCAUUGUAGGUUGAGAAGUUCAAUAAUACAGUACAUGGUUACUUGGAUACUUGGAGAAUAUGGAUCUGUUUGGUUCAGAGCCGAGAGCCGCCGUGCCAAAUUGUUGGCAAAGUGCGUUGGCCAGCAUUUGGAUGGACGCCAACUUUGGUCCUGCUUCAGUUUGCUGCUCCAACUCUUGGUGAGAUGACGGCGGCGAAUUUGUCCGCCAAAUAUUUGGCGAGCCUAGCUUUGGUAGGGCUAGCAUGGGCGCAAGCCAGAAGCCCCUAUAUGUUGAUGCUUGGUACUUGGAGGAGAGUCGAAAACAAUUCUUUCAAUUUUUAGAAACUUUAUAUUAUGUAAAGUGUAUUUUCUAAGAAAGUGAUGUACUCCUAACUGAUGAUACUUGCAUUGCAAUGUAACAGAUUGUGCAAUUGAAUCAAUAUAUUAGUUCAUUUCCACUCUCUCAAA